ACUUAUAAAUUAAUUUACACCACCGUCUUUUAUUCUUUAAUAAAUACUUUGUACAUAUGAAUGUUCAGUAUGAUAUGACACGUGCCAAUUGUCUUCCGUCUAACUGUGAAAAAUAUGUCUGAUUUGUUUUUAAGCGAAUGGUACACUACUAAAUGUGUAAAUUAAAGAUUGUUUAAAGAACGUUUUGAAUUUGAAAACUAUCUUGUUAAAACAUCGCCAAAAUUAUUAAACUAUUUCCAGUUGAAGUAGGUAGUUGGAGGAAUAUAAACAUAAAUUACAGAAAUUGCCACCUUUGUGAUUCUAAUCGUAUUUGUGAUGAAUUUAAUUAUUUGUUAGAGUGUAGUUAUUUCAUAAACGAAAUACGACGUUUCAUUGAUAACUUUAAUUUUAGAACUCCGAAUACAUUGUAUAUUGUCGUUUAAACGUGUUAUGAAAUUAAAGGGACUGUCUCACAGAUGAAAAAAUAGCGAAAAAAAAAAAUAAAAUUGUCGAAAAUUGACAUAAACUUGGCAUCGAUGUGUACAAUGCAUUGAAACAUAAUUAUUGAAGUACCACAUAGUUUACAAUUUAUUUAAGUUUAGCAGUUAGUUCGUAUUUUUCCAUUAAAAAAAAGUUACUGGGUUAGUCUACCGGGUAGAGUUAAUUCCUUAUGCGUGAUUGGCUAGUCGGCGUUAUCACGUGAUAUUACCGAGGUAGGUUUAUAGCUUUAUUAUGUCAUCCCAAUUGUGUAAGCCUAGAUAGCUCAGUAGGGAAGACGUCAGAUUUCAAUUUUGGCGACGCGGGUACGAACCCGGGCUCCAACACAUUUUUUUUAACACUGGUACUUUUUUUACAAUUUUGACAUCAAAGCGUAACACAUUCUAUUAGAUAAUUGUCCUGAGAUUCGUUACCAAAAAACUUUAGAUGUGUAAAUUUAUUAAAUGUAUCAUUAAAAAAGUUCAUUUCAGAUUUUAAUGUAUUCCUCUUUAUGCCAUUAUGUUAAUUAUUAUAUUAUGGUUUAUGUUCAUUUUUCAAAGCUUAUCGGCGGUUACUGUUUGCCGAUGAUAUGGCAAUUUUAGGAAAGACACCGGCUGAAACUCAACAACAACAGGAUUAACUUCAUACUUAUUUUAAUACCUGGGGUUUUUAUUAUGGUAUCUCGUAAGCGCGGACGUUUAUUACCGCAUAAAAGCUGGACCUAUGAUGGCCAAAACAUCGAAGUCGUUAGUGAUUUUUCUACCUAGGUUCUGUUUUUGAACGGGGGCCCUUCAGGGCCACGUUCAUAGUAGGCACAUCAGAUCGUUACUACAAAUGGUUACAAGGUGAUUCGGUCGAAAUAAUGCGCUCAUUGAAUGCUUGAAUACACAUGACAUCUUUAAACUUCAACAAAUCUGAAUUGAUGUAUAGUAAUGUACACUUGAACUCGUACAUUUUGCAUAUCCCUGAAAAUGCAGCUUAAAAAAUCACAAAAUUAAUACAACAUAUUUAUACGCAACCGCUCGAAAACGGCGAAAACCCAAGUGUAUUUUUACAGGUGUAAGUCGGUUAUAAGAAGGAGUUACCAUAAUUGAUUAAUCAAUUCCAAACGAUUCUAAAAUUUCCUUAAAAAUGAAAUGAUAUGUAAACACUAUUUCACUGAUCAAUAAACAAACGAACGAAGUGAAUGCCUUUUGGAAACCGUAUAUCGAUAAAGUAUAUUAUACAGAUUACUCCGCUUGUACUAGCAUAGAUUCUAGUCAUUUCACUUAUCGAUCGUCGCCAUUUUGUAAGCGCCCUGCCUAAGAGUGUCUCAUGGACUUCAGCUGGAAUAAAUGUGUAUUGUAAGUAUUUUAUAAUCAGAUUGUUACACAUGAACGGCUCUACGUGUGCGUGGCAUGAAAGUUAUUGAAAUUAAUUCAUUAUUUACACUGUAUAUUUACCUGUCAAUGUGCGUUGUUUAUGUGCGUGACCUACAUUAAUUGAGAGGCCUAAAUCAUGAACAUGCGUGUUAAUUCUAUUAUUUAAUUUAUUUGGAUUAGGAUGUGAAUUUGAGUAGUUCAUCUAGCUAAUUUUGAUGACGUAUAUUAUGCUUUUCGUUAAUUUAUGCAUUCGUGCCGUUCGAGGCUCACACAGUUUCGUGACCUUAGGUGACCUACUACGUAGUUGUAGGAAUAAAUAAUGAACGAAAUUUGAAAGAUUGGCAGUUAAAUCGGUUAAUAGCAACAGAAAAAAUAUUUUCCAAAACAGUUUAUUUCCCAAAAUAAUUGAAAAAAAAAAUGUUUAAAAACAUAAUAAAUCAUGGUCCGUAAGUUUCUUAAGAUGGUCCGUAAUGUCCCUAAAUCUGGUCCGUAGUGUCCCUAAAUGUGGUCCGUAAUGUCCAUGGACCGUAGUGUCCGUGACCCGUAGGAUGUACUGUAGUCGAUUGUAAUAAUCUCCCCUUAUGAAUCUCAUGAAUAUUAAUUUUCCACGGAAGGCGACCAUAUGCUGACCCGGGAGGAACUGUAAAGAACCAGCCAGACAGCCCGCCCGCCGAGCUGCCCACCCGGCCGAGCUGUACUUGGUGUAUGCCAACAUGCCGACAUGAUGAAAUUUGUUAGUACUUCAAGAUCAUAUAAUGGAAAAUUGUAUCCAAACUGUAUAGAGUGUAUAAAGUAUAAACCAGCCUGGUUGCUGUAGCCACAGGGGAAUCUUCAAGGACAAGAACCAGUGAUGGUAAAAAUGUGGUCUCAUGUGGUUUUCCAUACCGGCUCUCAGCAAGGAUUUCAGAGAAAGGAAUACCGUCUCCAAAUCAUGAUGUGCUAAUAAUCUCCAGUUAGCUGCGCCUUUUUCCUCCCGGCAGUAGUCCUGCAAUCUGAAUCCAGGAGAUGCAGCUCUGAAUCCAAUAUUUCAGAAGAAUGAAGAUAAAACUGAAGCCUUUAGGAAGUCAACGCCACCAUGAUAUUGAUUUACUCAGCUCUGAUGUACUCAGCUGUGAUGUAACAUGCCUUCAAGCCACUAUUCGAAGAACAUUCAGACGUUCUAAAUGGACCAUUGCCCUGUUGCCAUGGAAAUCAUUAUGAGGAGGAGCACACAAACUGUCACUUGUUUUGAAUACGAGAUGUACCACAAACUUACCAUAAACUUUUCGGAUGCUCUGUUUAUUUUAUCAGCCAAUUUCGAUGUAUAUUUUACUGAAUAACGACAAACAAUCUUUAUUAACAAUGCUCAGCUCUUACUCAUAAGCAUCUCUUACUCAUCCGUAUUCCACAACAAAACAUGCUUGCAAUUACACUGUACCAUCUAUCAUAAUACAGCAAUGCUGCAAUUACCACAUUUUUUGUACCAGUUGUUGCUUUAUACUGAAACUUUUAUUGAAAAUGGUGCAUAAACACUGAUAACACAUAAAUGUUUCAUUCAUACAUUUGUACAUGUUCUUUCAGUGUAUAUGUUGAUAAUGUUGAUACAUUUUUCAUGUGCAUUUACACAUGUGUUUAUUGCCAACCUCAUCAAAACAUGCAUAGUUUGCUCACAUACAUACUUCCAACACAGACAUUUACUGAAUGUAUUACUACUUUACGUUGAUUUUGACAUGUAAAUAAAACAUUGUACUACUCUUUUGUACAAAACACUUUUCAUUUGCUAUGUUGUUUGUUUCCAUGUUCUGUCUGCAUGCAGAUGGUAUUUUCAUAUCAAUUUUAGCUAAACUAUUCGUAGAAUAUGGAGAGCUAUACUACUCACCCAAGCGUCGGCGUCAGCCUCACACCUUGGUAAAGGUUUUGCUUGCAAGCACACAUAGGUAAAUAUCUCAUUAAGUACUUGAGGUAUUGCAUUGAGACUUGAUACAAUGGUACUCAACAAUCCAACCUACUGAAUCAACAAAGUUAGAUAACUCUAGUUUGCAUUUAAUCCAAAUAAUAGGACUUUAUUAUUCGACUUAGAAAUUCUGGUUAAGGUUUUGCGUGCAAGCACACAUAGGUUAAUAUCUCAGCAGCUACUUGAGGUAUUGCAUUGAGACUUGAUACAAUGGUACUCAACCAUCCAACCUAUAAAUUAACCAAGUAAGGUAACUUGACUUUGCAUUUAAUGCAAAUGAUAGGCCUUUAUUAUUCGACUUAGAUAUUCUGAUUGAGGUUUUGUGAGCAAGCACACAUUAUAUAAAUAUCAAAGCAACUACUUGAUGUAUUGCAUUGAGACUCAUACAAUUGUACUCAACCAUCAAACUUCCCCAUGUAAGAUAGCCCUAGUUUCAUUCAAUGCAAAUAGUUGCCCUUUAUUAUUCGACAUAGAAAUUCUAGUUAAGGUUUUGCAUGUAAGCACACAUAGGUAAAUUUCUCAGCAACUGCACGAUGUAUUGCAUUGAGACUUUAUAGAAUGGUAAUCAACCACUCAAUGUCAUUGAAUAACCAAGAUAUAUAACUGUAUUUUGCAAAUAAUUGCUCUUUAUUAUUAGACUUAAACAUUCUGGUUGAAAAAUUCCUAUAACCACAUUUAUGUUAAUAUCUCACCACAUGAAUUGCAUUGAAAUCUUAUCUAACAGCGAUCCAUGCAUGUUUCGCCAAAACUUUUCAAUCCUUACACUGAACAGCGGCGGAAUAGUCGAGCCCGCUGUCUCUGUGACAGCUCUUGUUCAAAAUUAACGUGAUGUUUAUUUCCAUUGUGAAACUUAUCCCUUGGGAACAAUAUUUACAUCUUUUAGCAUACAUGCCUGGAUGAGUUUUAAAAAAUGACCAUAUAAUGCAUACUUACUGCAUGAAAAUAUACAAUGACAUACAUUUCGUAUCAACUUGUGUAUCUGUAUUUCCCUUUCAACUACUUCGAAAUAACAAACGUCCCAACCCUAAAAUGUUCAAACAUAUUCUACAUACAUUAUUUUUAUCUUACACUAUAUAUAUAUAUGUUCUAUAUGUAUAUAUCACGCCUAAUAAAAUUGAAGCCUGUCAA